AAUUGGCGCACUACGGGACCUUGUCCUACAAAGAAACCAUAGUUACACCUUACCAUGGUUAAGGAACAUGGGUUAAGCUAGCUGACAAACUUUUGUGGGGUCAGGCUGUGUAUAUAAAUUGCGUAGUUGGGUUAUGUGAGGGAGGGCCAUCCACCAGCUUCUUCUUCUUCAUAAUCGUCAUCAGCACAAUCCAAAUCCACACCCUUGCUGGAAACCCCAUGAAUCCUAAUUCCUGAUUCUUAACCCCUUCUCCAAAAUCAGUAUACAGUUUCAGCCCAGUUGUCAGUAUAAUCUGCACUAGUAAUUGUACACCUAUUGCUCCUCCUUUGAAGUUCACAAGUGUUUCCAAUCAAGUAUGGGUCUUCCACCUUACCCAACUCCUGCCGACGGAGGAGUGCUAUGCGUAAUCCUUGUAAACACAGCCAUAUCCAUCUCCAUUGUCCGCGACAUAGUCCUCUCAGCCCUCCAUGUUGUUGGCAUCCGUAUAGCACCGUGGGAAGAAUAUUCCAACGAACACCCUUCAGAUUUCAAUGAGUGCCGUGGAAGUCCCUCAGAGACCUACAUGGAGGAAUUUCGUAGCCGGACCCCGGCAGUUCGGUUCGACUCUGUGUGCAAAUCCCGACGGCCCGAACCAGAGUGCUCCGUUUGCUUGACGGAGUUUGAACCUAAUGCAGAGAUAAAUGACCUUCCAUGCGGCCAUCUUUUCCACAAAAACUGCUUGGAAAAAUGGUUGAGGUAUUGGAAUGUCACGUGCCCUCUUUGCAGGACUCGUAUGGUACCGCCUGAGGAGGAGGAAGAGGGGGAAGAUACCGCUCCAAUGUGAGUUUUUUUCAGAACUGGUACAGACAAGGGAAUCCGACUGUUUAGUUGACCCAAAGCAUUGCAAGGGUCUCGUGCAAUGUAAAGGUAUCGGUGUAUAGCGUAGUUGUGUACACAGAGGUGAUAGUUUAUGUGCAUGCAUGCAUCGGCCAGCCGGGGUUUGGACCUGAGUUUAUGAGCCAGUAUUUAGUGUGUUGUUGUGAAACCUAAUUGUACUGUUGUACAUUCGUCGUUGAGGUUUAUAAUGAUGUUCUAUGCUUCUUGAGCUUAGGCUUUAUGGAGAUAUGCUUGCUAUAUACCUCAAAACUUGUGGCCUUUUGGGUGUAAUCUCACUUUCUUGUCCUCAAAAGAAGCAUAAAUCAGACUCUUGAUUGUAUUCAA